GCCAGACUCCUACGGGAGGCAGCAGUGGGGAAUAUUGGGCAAUGGGCGCAAGCCUGACCCAGCAACGCCGCGUGAAGGAAGAAGGCUCUCGGGUUGUAAACUUCUUUUAUCAGGGACGAAGCAAGUGACGGUACCUGAUGAAUAAGCCACGGCUAACUACGCGCCAGCAGCCGCGGUAAUACGUAGGUGGCAAGCGUUAUCCGGAUUUACUGGGUGUAAAGGGCGUGUAGGCGGGAAAGCAAGUCAGAUGUGAAAACCAUGGGCUCAACCUGUGGCCUGCAUUUGAAACUGUUUUUCUUGGGUACUGGAGAGGCAGACGGAAUUCCUAGUGUAGCGGUGAAAUGCGCAGAUAUUAGGAGGAACACCAGUGGCGAAGGCGGUCUGCUGGACAGCAACUGACGCUGAGGCGCGAAAGCGUGGGGAGCAAACAGGAUUAGAUACCCCAGUAGC
rnacentral:rRNA from 1 species